AGUGGGAAAGCAGGCAGGCACAUUCGCAGCCCACUUGUCGUCCAUCCCUCAGGGUGGCUGGGGUCUCCCUACUCUUACCUUCCAGGUGAGGACGUGGGGUGUCCAUACUGUUGAAAGAAGAAGCACUGCCCCCCACCCAAGAUCCUGAUUUGUCUGCUGUGUGACCUCAGGCAAGUCCCUGCCCCUUUCCGGGCCUUGGCCCCUGUUUCAGCAGUGAGGAGGGCAGAUUACCAAGCCCUUUUGGAACUCUGGCAUGCUGGGAUCCGAAUGGGGCUGGGGCUCCUGGGAAAGGAAUCAAGCUGGAAGGUUGGGUCCCAGGGGCUUGCUUCCCACACAGAGCAGAAGGGAUGGGGGCAUGGUGGGGGGAGUCGUGUAGAAGAAAAGGAGCCCCAGGCCUCCAGGUGGCUCCAAGAGGGGCAAGGCUGGCCUGAGGUUUUGGAAACAUAUUUAUUUUUAAGUGUCCUGUGUCACUGGGGGCUUUUUCUUCGGGGUUUGAAAUGCUCCAGAAGUCGGCACUCUGCAUGUGUGUGUUUGCUGAGCAGAAUAUGGGCUGUAUUUAUUCAUCCUUUAGCCUGAGCCCUUAAAAAUAUAGACGGCUAAUGUCUUCAGUAUGUAUGAAAUAUCCCAUAUGCUCGGAAACAAAAGGGGCUCUGUUAUUAAAGUUUCAUUUCCACACGCCCCCUUCCCUCCUCCCCCGCCCCUGACACCCUGCCCUCCUUCCAUCCCAUUCAGCCUUCUGGAGACAGAGCUCGAGGGAGGAGACUGGCGGGCAGCUGGGCAGCUGGGCAGCUGUGGACGGAGGCCGGGCACAACACAACCAGACUCUGCGAGAGUUGGUGCCAAGUCCAGCUCCAGGCAGCAGGACAAGGAUGCCGCCAAGCCUGGGGCUCGGGACAGGGAGGAAAGAUGCGGGCUGGCCCACUGUGUGCCCGGGGGUGAGGCACUGUGAAGAGGCUCCGGGUCGUGAGCGUCUGUACCAGUGAGUGUGUCAGAGUGUGAGUGAAAGUCUGAGUGCUGUGAGUGUGUGCUCGUGCGUGUGCCCAUCUGCAGUGUGGGGGAGGCGUCCCUUCUCCCAGGGCUGAUGUGGCCUCUCUGUCACCAUGAGCUCAGUAGCCUGUUGGCUGCCACUGGGUGAGGAGAAAACCUGCCGGGUGGGACAGGUCAUUGUCUUCUCCACCCAUCCUGCCUUCCUCCCUGCCUUCCUCCCGCUCCGGCCAGGUUCAGUCUUCUCUCACCUGAGGAACCUAUACCCACUUCCCAGAGGGUAAAGGAGAGCAGCAGGGCAAGGGGUAGUAACAAACGCUUCUCCCAUGUCUGUUCCCUCAGCAGUCUCCUCCCCAUCAGGAGCUGGCAUCCUGGGAGGUGAGAAAAUCAAGCCUGAGCAAGGGGACACCUUGGGAGACCACGGUGGGGCUGUCCAGACCCAUCCAUGGCUCAGAGGACCCCUGGGAUGAGUGCUUAGCCUGGGGGACAGGCUGGAGGCUCCCCUGUCAGGUUCUGUGACAAACAGGGUCACUCCUGAGGGUCUAGGUGACCUGAGUCUGAGGACAUUUCUCCCUAAAGAAUGAGCUUUGCUGAGAGAAAGGUGUGGGCUCUAGGGGGGCCCUGGCACUGCCUUUCUGUGGCUGUUGGGCUGGCUUCUCCCACUUCCAGGCCUCAGUUUCCUUAUCCCUAGGGUGACCGGAUUGGCCCUGAGUAGUGUUCCAAAACCUGAAGUACAUGCCUCUGGCAGCUCCUGCCACAGGGCCCUGUAGGCUACUAGUUUUCACUUCAGCAAGAAUUGUGUUUUAUUUUUACCUACAUUAGGGAAAAAAUACAUAAAUAGCAUAUCAAACCAGAGAGUAGAUUGAAGUAAAAAUAUACUCUACUCAAAUAAAAAUUGGGACCAAUAGAAGAUCCCUUGGGUCCUGUGCAUUUUGGCAGUGGGCUCUCUUUAUGGCUCUACUAUUUCUUUCUUUUUUUUUUUUUU
ensembl:lncRNA